rnacentral:sRNA from 1 species
CGAACUGUCUGCCUCCAGGCUUUGUCAUGGCGGCUGCUGCUGCACGCUGGAACCAUGUGUGGGUCGGCACCGAGACUGGGAUCUUGAAAGGUGGGUGGCAGGCUCGGGCGUCGGGAAGUGCAGGGGUGCACUCGCGCCCCUGGCGUGACUGACGCCUUCGUCUCUCAGGGGUAAAUCUUCAGCGAAAACAGGCGGCGAACUUCACGGCCGGAGGACAGCCGCGGCGCGAGGAGGCAGUGAGCGCCCUGUGUUGGGGCACCGGCGGCGAGACCCAGAUCCUGGUGGGCUGCGCGGACAGGACGGUGAAGCACUUCAGCACCGAGGAUGGCAUAUUCCAGGGUCAGAGACACUGCCCGGGCGGGGAGGGCACGUUCCGUGGCCUCGCCCAGGCCGACGGCACCCUCAUCACAUGUGUGGAUUCUGGGAUUCUCAGAGUCUGGCAUGACAAGGACAAGGACACAUCCUCCGACCCAGUGAGGCUCCCCUGCCCUGAUGGUUGGGGGAGGUGGGCUGGGGUAGGUGCCUAAUGAUCACGCUGGGGAAGGGAGGAUUAAGGACUCUGGAACGGACUCUUAUCUCCUAUUCUUUAUAGCUCCUGGAACUGAGAGUGGGCCCUGGGGUGUGUAGGAUGCGCCAAGACCCAGCACACCCCCAUGUGGUUGCCACAGGUGGGAAAGAGAAUGCUUUGAAGAUAUGGGACCUGCAGGGCUCUGAGGAACCUGUGUUCAGGGCCAAGAACGUGCGGAAUGACUGGCUGGACCUGCGGGUUCCCAUCUGGGACCAGGACAUACAGUUUCUCCCAGGAUCACAGAAGCUUGUCACCUGCACAGGGUACCACCAGGUCCGUGUUUAUGAUCCAGCAUCCCCCCAGCGCCGGCCAGUCCUAGAGACCACCUAUGGAGAGUACCCACUAACAGCCAUGACCCUCACUCCGGGAGGCAAGUGAGUGUUUAGAGGGGAAGGGGUGGGAGGGUGGGGCUUG